GUUUAGGGUUAAUGUGAAUUGAUUGGAUAUGUUUUAAAAUGUGAAUUGAAUAGAUUAUGUUUUUAAGUAUAAUUUAAUUAUGUUGGGCUAUUUUUUAUUUUAAUUUGACGGAGUUGUUUAAAUGAUAUUUUUUUUCAUCAAAUAAAGGGGAUGGCUGUCUACGUGGAAAUUUAUUAAAAGUGAGUGACCACAAAAAUAAUUCAUCCAUAUGUAAAGGAAUAAAAGUUGUUUUGAUGCAAGGGUUGUACUUAGAGUGUUUUUAUCAAACACUAAGGCCAAGGAGUGAUAGUUUACUCAAUCUCAAACUCCUCAAGACUCAUGGCCUAUAAAAGAGACACGCCUGCGUUUAAGAAAAAAAAAGAGGAGUAGAGAAGAGAAUAGCCGCAGAAAGAAAAAGAAGCAUAUGAGAGAAUAGCCGCAGGAAGAAAAGAAAGAGAGCAAGCACGCCAAAGAAAGCAAAAGUCAUCUCAAGGUAAAAUCAUAGUUUCAUGGCAUAAUUUUCUUGUUUGCUCAAGACUUCAGGUUUCAAUCAACCUGAGGGGUCCUGGCGAUGAUGAUUUCUAUCAUCAUAAAAAAGGUCAAGAAUCUCUCUAAGGGACGAUCUGCACCCAGCUUUUUGAUCAGUCCACAGAGAUUCUUGGCUAUGAUGAUUUCAAUCAUCAUAAACAAAGUUAGGAAUCUCUCUCCAAGGAUUGGCUUCGUUAAAAUAAUUCCAUCGAUGUUUUCAGUCCACAACCAACAGGGAAGAUUGUCUUCCAUGAUGAUUUCAAUCAUCAUAUUUCCAACAGGCAACUCUGGUUAAAUGCUUCCAAAUGCAGGGGAUGUCUCAAAUCAUGGAGAGUUGAGGAGGAUAUGGUGGUGAACCCACCAUGGAAUCAAAAUCAAAGAAGGAGGGCAUGUAAAAAACUCUGUAUGGAGCAUCUAAAAAUAAAAGGGUCUCACGGCAAUUGAAUUGCCUCCCUAUGGGCACUUGCUGCCAGCAAGUCAACACAGAAAAAAAAAAAAAAGAAAAAAAAAAAAGAAGAAGAGGAGAGCCAGCGGUUGAAGAGAUAACGGAGCAAAAGAAAAGUGCAACAUCAAUAGCAAUAGAAGACGCUCUAGUCAAUUGGAUGCUUCUGGGAUUCAGCUUCGCAAGUGACUUGGAACCAAAAGAGGCAAAUUCUCUUAUUGUCCUUUGUGUGCUGUAACUUUCCCAAGGUCAAUAACCAAAGAAAACCUUUGAGACUUUCAAUUGGCAGGACGUAGAGUUCCACCUCCCUUUUUCUUGCUCAUCGCCAGCUACACACAAGGGGAAAAAAUCCUCUUACUUUUCACAUUGUGCUGCCAGAUUGAAGGCCUUCAGAUUUCUUUAUUUGGUGGAGAAAACAAUCUGUCCUUUUGCUUCAGAGACCAAAGAGAAAGCUUGCGGUUUUUGUCUUGCCAACUCCUCUUCUUUUUGUUUACUAUUGCUAUACUUUUACUAUUGCCCAUCUCCUUUUCUUUUAUUCAAUUUUCAGUCAAAGAGAACCAUUCAAGACAGCCCCUUUAUAUAUGAGAUAUUUAGUCAUAUACCUAUUCUUAACACUAAAACUAUAAAUAAAUUCUACACCAUUUAAUAUUUAU